GACAGAGGUGCCGAGCGUUAGGCGGAAUCACUGGGCUUAAAGCGUGUGUAGGCGGAUUUGUAAGUCCCUUGUGAAAUCCCCGGGCUCAACCCGGGAACUGCGUCCGAUACUGGAAGGCUUGAAUCCGGGAGAGGGAUGUGGAAUUCCAGGUGUAGCGGUGAAAUGCGUAGAUAUCUGGAGGAACACCGGUGGCGAAGGCGACAUCCUGGACCGGUAUUGACGCUGAGGCGCGAAAGCCAGGGGAGCAAACGGG
rnacentral:rRNA from 1 species